rnacentral:rRNA from 1 species
CCCUUAGAUGUUCUGGGCUGCACGCGCGCUACACUGAAGCGUUCAACGAGUAUUCACCUUGCCCGGGAGGGUUGGGUAAUCUUUUCAAAACGCUUCGUGAUGGGGAUAGAUUAUUGCAAUUAUUAAUCUUCAACGAGGAAUUCCUAGUAAGCGCGAGUCAUCAGCUCGUGCUGAUUACGUCCCUGCCCUUUGUACACACCGCCCGUCGCACCUACCGAUUGAAUGACUCGGUGAAAAAUUGGGACUGUGAUUGAAAUUGCUUCAUUGCGAAUUUAAUCAUGGAAACUUUCUUUAACCUAGGCAUUUAGAGGAAGGUGAAGUCGUAACA